rnacentral:lncRNA from 1 species
UUCUACCAUUAAUCAUCCCUCUUAGGUUCAUUACACUUGCAAGAAAUAGUUGGAAAAAACAACAGCCUGUCUCUGAAAAUACCAAUUGCCAUACAAACUGAAUUUCCGAAAGAAGAGAUUAAGCUCUUACUAUUUCCUAAGCAAACCUACCAAUAUAGGCAGGUGAGAUCAUACAAAGAUCUUCAAUUUCCAAACAGCUAUACAAAAAUCUGCAAAAGAGAUUCGUUCCGCAAGCCAUCAGCUGAACAACAAACCUGAGAAGGAAAAUAGUAGAUUUAUUAACAAAAAAAUGUUUACGCGAUUAAGAUUACUGGAGAAAUGGAGCGAUGAUCAUGCGAAAGUAACCUG